AUUGAACGCUGGCGGCAGGCCUAACACCUGCAAGUCGAGCGAGCGGCGGACGGGUGAGUAAUGUCUGGGAAACUGCCUGAUGGAGGGGGAUAACUACUGGAAACGGUAGCUAAUACCGCAUACCAUCAGAUGUGCCCUGGUGGGAUUUGCUAGUAGGUGUGGUAACGGCUCACCUAGGCGACGUACCCUAGCUGGUCUGAGAGGCUUACCAGCCACACUGGAGCUUAGACACGGUCCCGACGCCUACGGGAGGCAUCGGUGGGGAAUAUUGCACAAUGGGCGCAAGCCUGAUGCAGCCAUGACGCGUGUGUGAAGAAGGCCUUCGGGUUGUAAAGCACCUUCAGCGGGGAGGCGUUACCCGCAGAAGAAGCACCGGCGAACUCCGUGCCAGCAGCCGCGGUAAUAC
rnacentral:rRNA from 1 species